rnacentral:rRNA from 1 species
GCCGGGCGACGGUUGUCCCGGUUUAAGCGUGUAGGUGUGUGUUCCAGGUAAAUCCGGUUCACUUUAACACUGAGGCGUGAUGACGAGGCACUACGGUGCUGAAGCAACAAAUGCCCUGCUUCCAGGAAAAGCCUCUAAGCAUCAGGUAACAUCAAAUCGUACCCCAAACCGACACAGGUGGUCAGGUAGAGAAUACCAAGGCGCUUGAGAGAACUCGGGUGAAGGAACUAGGCAAAAUGGUGCCGUAACUUCGGGAGAAGGCACGCUGACAC